rnacentral:rRNA from 1 species
CCUACGGGGGGCAGCAGUGGGGAAUAUUGGACAAUGGGGGCAACCCUGAUCCAGCCAUGCCGCGUGUGUGAAGAAGGCCCUCGGGUUGUAAAGCACUUUCAGUGAGGAAGAACGCCUGGUGGUUAAUACCCAUCAGGAAAGACAUCACUCACAGAAGAAGCACCGGCUAACUCCGUGCCAGCAGCCGCGGUAAUAAGGAGGGUGCGAGCGUUAAUCGGAAUUACUGGGCGUAAAGCGCGCGUAGGUGGUUUGAUAAGCCGGUUGUGAAAGCCCCGGGCUCAACCUGGGAACGGCAUCCGGAACUGUCAAGCUAGAGUGCAGGAGAGGAAGGUAGAAUUCCCGGUGUAGCGGUGAAAUGCGUAGAGAUCGGGAGGAAUACCAGUGGCGAAGGCGGCCUUCUGGACUGACACUGACACUGAGGUGCGAAAGCGUGGGUAGCAAACAGGAUUAGAUACCCCAGUAGUC